rnacentral:rRNA from 1 species
CAGUAGCCGCGGUAAUACGAGGGGAGCUAGCGUUAUUCGGAAUUACUGGGCGUAAAGCGCACGUAGGCGGCUUUGUAAGUUAGAGGUGAAAGCCCAGAGCUCAACUCUGGAAUUGCCCUUAAGACUGCAUCGCUUGAAUCCAGGAGAGGUGAGUGGAAUUCCGAGUGUAGAGGUGAAAUUCGUAGAUAUUCGGAAGAACACCAGUGGCGAAGGCGGCUCACUGGACUGGUAUUGACGCUGAGGUGCGAAAGCGUGGGGAGCAAACAGGAUUAGAUACCCCUGUAGUCCCUGUCUCUUAUAC